rnacentral:rRNA from 1 species
AGCAGCCGCGGUAAUUCCAGCUCCAAUAGCGUAUAUUAAAGUUGUUGCAGUUAAAAAGCUCGUAGUUGAAUUUCGGGAUUGACACAUCGGUCGUGCCUUAAGGGGCAUGAACUGGUGUAGUCAAUUUCUCACCUUCUGGAGAACCGCGAUGCCCUUAAUUGGGUGUCGCGGGGAACCAGGACCUUUACUUUGAAAAAAUUAGAGUGUUUAAAGCAGGCAUUUUGCUUGAAUACAUUAGCAUGGAAUAAUAAAAUAGGACGGCAUGAUUCUAUUUUGUUGGUUUCUAGGAUCACCGUAAUGAUUAAUAGGGAUAGUUGGGGGCAUUAGUAUUCAAUUGUCAGAGGUGAAAUUCUUGGAUUUAUUGAAGACUAACUACUGCGAAAGCAUUUGCCAAGGAUGUUUUCAUUAAUCAAGAACGAAAGUUAGGGGAUCGAAGACGAUCAGAUACCGUCGUAGUCUUAACCAUAAACUAUGCCGACUAGGAAUCAGACGAUGUUAAUUUUUUAAUGACUCGUUUGGC